GACGAACGCUGGCGGCGUGCUUAACACAUGCAAGUCGAACGGAAAGGCCCUGCUUUUGUGGGGUGCUCGAGUGGCGAACGGGUGAGUAACACGUGAGUAACCUGCCCUUGACUUUGGGAUAACUUCAGGAAACUGGGGCUAAUACCGGAUAGGAGCUCCUGCUGCAUGGUGGGGGUUGGAAAGUUUCGGCGGUUGGGGAUGGACUCGCGGCUUAUCAGCUUGUUGGUGGGGUAGUGGCUUACCAAGGCUUUGACGGGUAGCCGGCCUGAGAGGGUGGCCGGCCACAUUGGGCCUGAGAUACGGCCCAGACUCCUACGGGAGGCAGCAGUGGGGAAUAUUGCACAAUGGGCGGAAGCCUGAUGCAGCAACGCCGCGUGCGGGAUGACGGCCUUCGGGUUGUAAACCGCUUUCGCCUGUGACGAAGCGUGAGUGACGGUAAUGGGUAAAGAAGCACCGGCUAACUACGUG
rnacentral:rRNA from 1 species